rnacentral:lncRNA from 1 species
GAGUUAUAAAUACCUCCUAUUGUGCAACAGGGAGAGGGAUCGAUUACCAGAAAUAGUAAUACUAGAGAGUUGUGUGUGUGAGCACCUGAGGGCAAACCCACACACCAUUCAUUUCAAAUGUGGUUCAGUCUUAUAUUUGAUUGUAUGAUAAUCGAAAAUAUAUUUAUAAUUGGAUUCUAAUAGCAUAUGGUACGGUAGGUAUAUAUAUUAUAGAUUUAAAACAUUAUUAAUUCUAAUAAUUUGAUAAUUAGCAUAAGUUAAAGUCAGAACUUGUAAAUUUCUCAUAUUAUAAUGGAAAAAUUGUCCACAAAGACAAUUGUCGAUUCUCCCUCCCCCUAAAAAAAACAUGAUGUAGAAGAACGAACCGUCUUUGUAGAUUUCAUACCUUCAGAUGACCGUCCUUGCACCAUUGCGAGUGUUGGUGAGAUAUUUCAGUCAUCAUCAAUAUCUAGAUUCAAGAACGACUAAUUAUCCAUGUCGUAACGAAUCCUGGAUACAUGCAUACAUACAUACAUGCCGACCGAACCGACUCACUAGGGUCGGGAGCCUAUGCGAGUGGCACAUCGUUUGUGAAAUAUGGUGUAUUAGAAUUUACAGGAACGAAUUAUGAUAAUUAAUUAAUAUAUAUAUGCCGCGUUUCCACUGUGGUUGCUUACCGCAGUUGAGGAAUCGCGGAUGAGUUCAGGAACUGCCGAGAUGUAGUUCGGCGACUGCAAUUCCGAAGAUGUAUGUCAGGAAUUGCAGUGACGGAAUCGCGGAAGGCUGCUCACAAUUCCGUCGUAUUUCUGUU